rnacentral:rRNA from 1 species
GGGCCCGCACAAGCGGUGGAGCAUGUGGUUUAAUUCGAUGAUACGCGAGGAACCUUACCAGGGCUUAAAUGGGAGAUGACAGGGGCAGAGACGCCCUUUUCUUCGGACAUCUUUCAAGGUGCUGCAUGGUUGUCGUCAGCUCGUGCCGUGAGGUGUCAGGUUAAGUCCUAUAACGAGCGCAACCCCUACCGUUAGUUGCCAGCGUGUAAUGACGGGGACUCUAACGGAACUGCCGGUGCAAACCGUGAGGAAGGUGGGGACGACGUCAAAUCAUCACGGCCCUUACGUCCUGGCCACACACGUGCUACAAUGGUAGGUACAGAGGGAAGCCACCCCGCGAGGGGGAGCGGA